rnacentral:lncRNA from 1 species
AAAGAUUAGACUCCGACGAGUGGGCACCUUCUAGCGCACGGUACCGAGGGCUUUGAGUGGUAGACGUUUGGCAGAGAGACAUUAUCGCUUCGGGUUUUCCUCAAACGCAGCAGCUUCCCGCCUUGCAAAUGAAGCC